GUAACGACAAUGCAAAGGAAUAGUAAUAUCACUUUUUGGCAUAGAGAGACAGUGGUUGGUGGAAACUGUCGCAAAUAGCGGUAUGAACUCACCUUGAAGUUGCAGAAACGAAAUCGAGUAAUUUCUGCCGUAUAUCCGCGUUAAGGAGCACAAGUGAACGCAACGCUGCGUUAAUUUGGGUGGUACCGCGGGAGCAAAGCUUCUCGUCCCUUUA
rnacentral:ncRNA from 1 species